rnacentral:rRNA from 1 species
CCUACGGGAGGCAGCAGUGGGGAAUAUUGCACAAUGGGGGGAACCCUGAUGCAGCGACGCCGCGUGGGUGAAGGAGUAUUUCGGUAUGUAAAGCCCUAUCAGCAGGGAAGAACAAUGACGGUACCUGACUAAGAAGCACCGGCCAAAUACGUGCCAGCAGCCGCGGUAAUACGUAUGGUGCAAGCGUUAUCCGGAUUUACUGGGUGUAAAGGGAGCGCAGGCGGCGCGAUAAGCCUGGUGGGAAAGCCCGCGACCGAACCGCGGGACUGCAUUGGAAACUGGCGCGCUUGAGUGGCGGAGGGGUAGGCGGAAUGCGUGGUGUAGCGGUGAAAUGCGUAGAUAUUAGGAGGAACACCAGUGGCGAAGGCGGCUUACUGGACUGUAACUGACGUUGAGGCUCGAAAGCGUGGGGAGCAAACAGGAUUAGAUACCCCUGUAGUC